rnacentral:lncRNA from 1 species
CUUAAUCAAUAAUGUUCUUGUAUCCUUUGAUGAUGUUAGUAAUGGUAUAAUUGCUACAAUUACAGUAUGAAAAUGUGCAUACUUUGCCACAUCCCAAAGCUGAAGUCUUUCAUUUCCAAUUCAAUAUUAAUUUUUUAAAAAUGAAAAUAAAUACAAAAUCAUUUCACUGGGCUGUGCCAGUGAUGGGCACUAACAAUUUGGGUAAUAAGUAAAGGAGUUUUAGGGAGGAGAUGGAACUUGAAUUGAAGCUUGAAGGGAGCUAGGGGCUCCAAGGGGGGAGAGAAUAUUCCAAGAAUGUGAGACAGUUCACAAAAAUUCAGAGGCAGGUGAUAACAGACUGAGAUCAGGGAAUAAUGAAGAAUUGAAUUUGACUACACCAUACAGUCUAUGCUGAAUAAUGCGAAAUGAGGAUCUCAGAUUUAGAACUAGAAGGGACUGACUGUAGGACACUUAAUGCAACCCCUCUUUUUACAGGUAAGGAAACUGAGGCUCAGAGUAAUUUACCCAAGAUAACAUAGAGAGAACAUUUCAAAGGUGGGAUCUGAACCCAAGUCUGACUUUAAGUGGGUUACCACAUUCUGUUGGAAAGUCGUCACUGAGAAGGUGAGAAGAGGAAGAUUACAAUAGAGAUGCCCUCCAACAAGAAGACUAUUGUCAUAGGUUUUUUAGAGAGAACAGAAAUACUCUUUGGUGUUUAAAUUCCAAGAAAAAGAAAUCUAAGGGAGAGAACACAUUUCAUGAGUGGAAUGGAGUAGUGUCGUAGGAAAAGAAAUGUCAUCACUGAAAGCCAGAGGGACUUCAGGAGGUAGAAAUGAAGAGGAAGCACAGAGGAAUCAAGGCAGGGGACAAAGUACACAAAGAUAUUAGCUGUGCAGAGGGCAGAGUAAGAACCGGAACAGAGAAUGAUCUGCCACAAAGUAGUCAGAUAUGGGGGAAAAAGGAUCCGCCCCUCAUCCACCUACUGCCAGGCAGGGGAAAGAAGAACCAGAUUACCCAAAGAGAUGAAAAACAGAAAAAGAUCUGAAGAAGGAAAAAGAGCAGGUGGCUGAGUAAGAGAAGAAGCAUGAGAGUGAAGAGUCAUGGAAGAAAGGAAAGAGAGUCCAUAAGGAAAAGUGAGGGCAGUUCAUGUUCAUCCAACCUAUGGUACGUUGCUAAAGCUAUGAGCUCACAUGGACCAGGUUCAAUCUUGGAGGUUUCUCAAUAAUUAAUACUCUCCAUGGCUCAUGUUUUCCUCUAUCCAAUUGGGCAUACUUCUAAGUAUUAUCUAGGUA